UACUGUGACAACUUUUCAAGCUCUGCUCUGAAUAUCGGUUGCCAUUAGUGACCCAUGGACUAAAAAGGGAAAGGGUCGCCCUACAGUGUAUAUAUGGGUGAAGUGCUUCCCUGCUGGUUAAGCACUGGUAUUAACAGCAGUUGCCAACACAGAGACCAAGUUCCUCUUAUCUCACUGUGUAUCAGUCUCUCCUUCUGUCAGUCUCUUUCUUAAAAGCAAGUUUCAAGCCCCUUUGAAGAUACAGUGAAGGAAGCAUGUGCAGGAACAUCCAGACAUCAUGAGAAAGAACAUCUGCCCUGUGAAUGACUGGCCAUCCUUUCAGCAGCUACUGGUGAAGAAACAGCUCUUGUACAACAAAUAAACUAAGCACCAUUCCGAAGAGAUUCCACAAUAAUGGCAACAGAAAGGAUGCUGUGGAUCAUGACAGUCUCAACAAUAUCUGUUCUGGCUGACUGUGUGAGAUUUUCUCCCUGAUUAGGCCACUCCUACCACUAGGCAGAGUGAACCCGUCUCCUCAGAUAUUAGACCUGGAGCAUCAUGAAAGGGCAGUAAAUUGUUAUUCAGUUUGUUAUUAUUGGAUUUUACAACUUCUUGUGGGAUGUUCUGAUUCUUAUGCCAAAGUAACCUCGCUGGCUUUUGCCACUCCAUACCAUACUGUGAGAUAACAAGAAGUCUUGUGAG